rnacentral:rRNA from 1 species
AUUGAACGCUGGCGGCAGGCUUAACACAUGCAAGUCGAGCGGGGUGAUGGUGCUUGCACUAUCACUUAGCGGCGGGCGGGUGAGUGAUGCUUAGGAAUCUGCCUAUUAGUGGGGGACAACAUCUCGAAAGGGAUGCUAAUACCGCAUACGUCCUACGGGAGAAAGCAGGGGAUCACUUGUGACCUUGCGCUAAUAGAUGAGCCUAAGUCGGAUUAGCUAGUUGGUGGGGUAAAGGCCUACCAAGGCGACGAUCUGUAGCGGGUCUGAGAGGAUGAUCCGCCACACUGGGACUGAGACACGGCCCAGACUCCUACGGGAGGCAGCAGUGGGGAAUAUUGGACAAUGGGGGAACCCUGAUCCAGCCAUGCCGCGUGUGUGAAGAAGGCCUUAUGGUUGUAAAGCACUUUAAGCGAGGAGGAGGCUCUUUUGGUUAAUACCCAAGAUGAGUGGACGUUACUCGCAGAAUAAGCACCGGCUAACUCUGUGCCAGCAGCCGCGGUAA